rnacentral:rRNA from 1 species
GACGAACGCUGGCGGCGUGCUUAACACAUGCAAGUCGAACGGAAAGGCCCUGCUUUUGUGGGGUGCUCGAGUGGCGAACGGGUGAGUAACACGUGAGUAACCUGCCCUUGACUUUGGGAUAACUUCAGGAAACUGGGGCUAAUACCGUAUAGGAGCUCCUGCUGCAUGGUGGGGGUUGGAAAGUUUCGGCGGGUGGGGAUGGACUCGCGGCUUAUCGGCUUGUUGGUGGGGUAGUGGCUUACCAAGGCUUUGACGGGUAGCCGGCCUGAGAGGGUGACCGGCCACAUUGGGCCUGAGAUACGGCCCAGACUCCUACGGGAGGCAGCAGUGGGGAAUAUUGCACAAUGGGCGGAAGCCUGAUGCAGCAACGCCGCGUGCGGGAUGACGGCCUUCGGGUUGUAAACCGCUUUAGCCUGUGACGAAGCGUGAGUGACGGUAAUGGGUAAAGAAGCACCGGCUAACUACGUG